GGUACUGGAGAAGGACUGCGCUG
rnacentral:piRNA from 1 species